GCGUCGACGGGGUCGAUGGCGCGGGUGACCACGAGGUAGUCGCGCAGCACGAUGGCGUGCCGGUUGUC
rnacentral:sRNA from 1 species